rnacentral:rRNA from 1 species
GCUCGUAGUUGGAGGUCGGCCGGGCGGCGGCGCGUUCGGGUCAGAGCUACCUGUCUAUCCCCGUCGCUGGUCUCGGGGCCCAGGCGGGUGAAUCCCCUUGGCUGGGGUUGGCCCCCAGGUUACUUUGAAAAAAUUAGGGUGUUUCAGGCAGGCUGCUGAAUAGUCUAACAUGGAAUAACAGUGAACUCCGGUUCCCUUUGCUGGUCUACGGAACUCGUGAAGAGGGGCAGACGGGGGCGGAAGUACUACGGCGUGAGAGGUGAAAUUUCAGGACCGCCGUAAGACUAACGAACGCGAAAGCAUUCGCCCAGAAUGUUUUCAUUAGUCAAGAACGAAAGUUGGUGUAGCGAAGAGGAUCAGAUACCCUCCUAGUACUGACCGUAAACGAUGCCGACAGGAGGCCGGCGGUGGCACCGCCGGCGGGAAACCCGAGUGUCUGGGUUCGGGGGUAGUAUGGUUGCAAAGCUGAAACUUAAAGGUAUUGACGGAAGGGCACCACAAGGAGUGGAGCUUGCGGCUUAAUUUGACUCAACGCGGGGCAACUCACCAGGUCCGGACAUUGCGAGGAUUGACAGAUUGAUAGCUCUUUCUUGAUUCGGUGGUUGGUGGUGCAUGGCCGUUCUUAGUACGUGGUGCAAACUGUCAGGUUAAAUCCGCUAACGUACGCGACUCUAGCCUAUUUACUAGAGCUGGCGAUAUAAUAAGUCGCGACUUCUUAGGGGGAGCGUGGGAGAAGCGGAUGAAAUAGAGCAAUAACAGGUCUGUGAUGCCCUUAGAUGUUCGGGGCCGCACGCGCGCUACACUGAAAAGGAAAGAGGGCCGGGGCGAGCCGCAAUCUUAGAAACCUUGGCGUGCUAGGGAUUAGGGUUUGAAACUGUUGCCUAUGAACGAGGAAUUCCAAGUAAGUGCGAGUGACUAGCUUGCGUUGAUCAAGUCCCUGCCCUUUGUACACACCGCCCGUCGCUACCACUGAGCUAGCGGCUUAGCAAGCGCGUCGGACGCGUCCUGGGGGCG